GUAGGCCAGUAGUUUUGUUAAAAAAAUUUGAAUAGUUUGGAAAUGCUAACCAUAGAGGGUGAUAGUCCCGUAUGAGUAAUGUUUAACAAAAUUCUUGAGUAAAGCGGGACACGAGAAAUCCUGCUCGAAUAUAGGGGGACCACCCUCUAAGCCUAAAUACUCUUCAGUGACCGAUAGUGAACUAGUACCGUGAGGGAAAGGUGAAAAGAACCCCUAUUAGGGGAGUGAAAUAGAACCUGAAACUGCAUGCCUACAAUCAGUCCGAGCCUUUUUUAGGGUGAGGGCGUACCUUUUGUAUAAUGGGUCAGUGACUUAAUUUAUUAAGCAAGCUUAAGCCAUCUAGGUGUAGGCGCAGCGAAAGCAAGUCUUAAUAGGGCGAUUAGUUUAAUGAAUUAGACCCGAAAACGAAUGAGCUUACCAUGAGCAGGUUGAAAGUUGGGUAACACCAACCGGAGGACCGAACCAGUUGACGUUGAAAAGUCUUUGGAUGACUUGUGGUAAGGGGUGAAAGGCCAACCAAAUUCGUAGAUAGCUGGUUUUCCGCGAAAACUAUUUAGGUAGUGCGUCGAAUAAAUAGAUGUUUAGAGGUAGAGCACUAAAUGGGCUAGGGGGAAGAGAUUCUUACCAAACCUAAUAAAACUCCGAAUGCUAAACAUUGUUCUUCGGCAGACAGACUGUGGGUGCUAAGGUCCAUGGUCGAGAGGGAAAGAGCCCAGACCACCAGAUAAGGUCCCAAAAUCAUGAUUAAGUGUGAGAGGAUGUGGAAAUUCCAUAACAGCCGGGAGGUUGGCUUAGAAGCAGCCAUCCUUUAAAGAUAGCGUAACAGCUCACCGGUCUAAUAGAGUUUCUGCGCCGAAGAUGUAACGGGGCUAAAAUCAUGUACCGAAUCUGUGGCUUUACAAAGUUUUCGAACUUUGUAAGGGGUAGCGGAACGUUCUGUAAGCCUGCGAAGGGAUACCCGUGAGGGAUCCUGGAGGUAUCAGAAGUGCGAAUGCUGACAUAAGUAACGAUAAACGAAGUGAAAAACUUCGUCGCCGAAAAUCUAAGGGUUUCUAUGCAAGGUUAAUCCGCGUAGAGUUAGUCGGCACCUAAGGCGAGGGCGAAAGCCGUAGUCGAUGGAAACAAGGUUAAUAUUCCUUGACCUGAUGGUAGUGACGGAUUUUGUAAGUUGUGAGUUCUUAAUGGAUUGAACUUGCCGCGAAAAGGUCCCAAGAAAUAGCUCCAUCAUGAAGACCGUACCCGAAACCGACACAGGUAGAUUAAUAGAGUAUAUUUAGGCGCUUGAGAGAAUGAUGUUGAAGGAACUCGGCAAAAUGCUUCCGUAACUUCGGGAUAAGGAAGACCCUUUUGUAGGCAACUAUAGAAGGGUGGCACAAGCCAGGGAGAAGCGACUGUUUAUCAAAAACACAGGGCUCUGCUAACACGUAAGUGGAUGUAUAGGGUCUGACGCCUGCCCGGUGCUGGAAGGUUAAUGCGGUUGGUGCAAGCUAACUUCUGAAGCCCCAGUAAACGGCGGCCGUAACUAUAACGGUCCUAAGGUAGCGAAAUUCCUUGUCGGGUA
rnacentral:rRNA from 1 species